UACGGGGGGGGUAAGCGUUGUUCGGAAUUACUGGGCGUAAAGGGCUCGUAGGCGGCCAACUAAGUCAUACGUGAAAUCCCUCAGCUUAACUGGGGAACUGCGUGUGAUACUGGAUGGCUUGGAUUUGGGAGAGGGAUGCGGAAUUCCAGGUGUAGCGGUGAAAUGCGUAGAUAUCUGGAGGAACACCGGUGGCGAAGGCGGCAUCCUGGACCGAGAUUGACGCUGAGGCGCGAAAGCUAGGGGAGCAAACGGG
rnacentral:rRNA from 1 species